rnacentral:tRNA from 1 species
GUCUAUUAGCUCAGUCGGUAGAGCAGGGGACUGAAAAUCCCCGUGUCGGUGGUUCGAUUCCGCCUCUGGGCACCA